GACGAACGCUGGCGGCGUGCCUAAUACAUGCAAGUCGAACGCUUCUUUCCUCCCGAGUGCUUGCACUCAAUUGGAAAGAGGAGUGGCGGACGGGUGAGUAACACGUGGGUAACCUACCCAUCAGAGGGGGAUAACACUUGGAAACAGGUGCUAAUACCGCAUAACAGUUUAUGCCGCAUGGCAUAAGAGUGAAAGGCGCUUUCGGGUGUCGCUGAUGGAUGGACCCGCGGUGCAUUAGCUAGUUGGUGAGGUAACGGCUCACCAAGGCCACGAUGCAUAGCCGACCUGAGAGGGUGAUCGGCCACACUGGGACUGAGACACGGCCCAGACUCCUACGGGAGGCAGCAGUAGGGAAUCUUCGGCAAUGGACGAAAGUCUGACCGAGCAACGCCGCGUGAGUGAAGAAGGUUUUCGGAUCGUAAAACUCUGUUGUUAGAGAAGAACAAGGACGUUAGUAACUGAACGUCCCCUGACGGUAUCUAACCAGAAAGCCACGGCUAACUACGUGCCAGCAGCCGCGGUAAUACGUAGGUGGCAAGCGUUGUCCGGAUUUAUUGGGCGUAAAGCGAGCGCAGGCGGUUUCUUAAGUCUGAUGUGAAAGCCCCCGGCUCAACCGGGGAGGGUCAUUGGAAACUGGGAGACUUGAGUGCAGAAGAGGAGAGUGGAAUUCCAUGUGUAGCGGUGAAAUGCGUAGAUAUAUGGAGGAACACCAGUGGCGAAGGCGGCUCUCUGGUCUGUAACUGACGCUGAGGCUCGAAAGCGUGGGGAGCAAACGGGAUUAGAUACCCUGGUAGUCCACGCCGUAAACGAUGAGUGCUAAGUGUUGGAGGGUUUCCGCCCUUCAGUGCUGCAGCAAACGCAUUAAGCACUCCGCCUGGGGAGUACGACCGCAAGGUUGAAACUCAAAGGAAUUGACGGGGGCCCGCACAAGCGGUGGAGCAUGUGGUUUAAUUCGAAGCAACGCGAAGAACCUUACCAGGUCUUGACAUCCUUUGACCACUCUAGAGAUAGAGCUUUCCCUUCGGGGACAAAGUGACAGGUGGUGCAUGGUUGUCGUCAGCUCGUGUCGUGAGAUGUUGGGUUAAGUCCCGCAACGAGCGCAACCCUUAUUGUUAGUUGCCAUCAUUUAGUUGGGCACUCUAGCGAGACUGCCGGUGACAAACCGGAGGAAGGUGGGGAUGACGUCAAAUCAUCAUGCCCCUUAUGACCUGGGCUACACACGUGCUACAAUGGGAAGUACGACGAGUCGCUAGACCGCGAGGUCAUGCAAAUCUCUUAAAGCUUCUCUCAGUUCGGAUUGCAGGCUGCAACUCGCCUGCAUGAAGCCGGAAUCGCUAGUAAUCGCGGAUCAGCACGCCGCGGUGAAUACGUUCCCGGGCCU
rnacentral:rRNA from 1 species